rnacentral:rRNA from 1 species
UUAUUGGGUUUAAGGGUCCGUAGGCGGAUCUGUAAGUCAGUGGUGAAAUCUCACAGCUUAACUGUGAAACUGCCAUUGAUACUGCAGGUCUUGAGUGUUGUUGAAGUAGCUGGAAUAAGUAGUGUAGCGGUGAAAUGCAUAGAUAUUACUUAGAACACCAAUUGCGAAGGCAGGUUACUAAGCAACAACUGACGCUGAUGGACGAAAGCGUGGGGAGCGAACAGGAUUAGAUACCCUGGUAGUCCACGCCGUAAACGAUGCUAACUCGUUUUUGGAAUGUAAGUUUCAGAGACUAAGCGAAAGUGAUAAGUUAGCCACCUGGGGAGUACGAACGCAAGUUUGAAACUCAAAGGAAUUGACGGGGGCCCGCACAAGCGGUGGAUUAUGUGGUUUAAUUCGAUGAUACGCGAGGAACCUUACCAAGGCUUAAAUGGGAAAUGACAGGUUUAGAAAUAGACUUUUCUUCGGACAUUUUUCAAGGUGCUGCAUGGUUGUCGUCAGCUCGUGCCGUGAGGUGUUAGGUUAAGUCCUGCAACGAGCGCAACCCCUGUCACUAGUUGCCAUCAUUAAGUUGGGGACUCUAGUGAGACUGCCUACGCAAGUAGAGAGGAAGGUGGGGAUGACGUCAAAUCAUCACGGCCCUUACGCCUUGGGCCACACACGUAAUACAAUGGCCGGUACAGAGGGCAGCUACACUGCGAAGUGAUGCAAAUCUCGAAAGCCGGUCUCAGUUCGGAUUGGAGUCUGCAACUCGACUCUAUGAAGCUGGAAUCGCUAGUAAUCGCGCAUCAGCCAUGGCGCGGUGAAUACGUUCCCG